GACAGAGGCCUCAAGCGUUAGGCGGAAUCACUGGGCUUAAAGCGUGUGUAGGCGGAUCGUUAAGUGUCUUGUGAAAUCCCACGGCUCACCCGUGGAACGGCUGGGCAUACUGGCGAUCUUGGGCCAACUAGGGGCAACUGGAACAAGCGGUGGAGCGGUGAAAUGCGUAGAUAUCGCUUGGAACGCCGAAGGUGAAAACAGGUUGCUGGGGUUGUGCCGACGCUGAGACACGAAAGCCCAGGGGAGCGAACGGG
rnacentral:rRNA from 1 species